GGUCCUGUAGGAUAACGGUCAGUCCGAAGGUUUCUGAUUGGGGUUCAUUCCCAUUGGCAUUCCUUAAGCCGCGGUUCGACUCCGCGCAGGACCU